rnacentral:rRNA from 1 species
CCUACGGGUGGCAGCAGUGAGGAAUAUUGGUCAAUGGACGAGAGUCUGAACCAGCCAAGUAGCGUGAAGGAUGACUGCCCUAUGGGUUGUAAACUUCUUUUAUAAAGGAAUAAAACGAGGCACGUGUGCCUGUUUGCAUGUACUUUAUGAAUAAGGAUCGGCUAACUCCGUGCCAGCAGCCGCGGGAAUACGGAGGAUCCGAGCGUUAUCCGGAUUUAUUGGGUUUAAAGGGAGAGUAGAUGGGUUGUUAAGUCAGUUGUGAAAGUUUGCGGCUCAACCGUUAAAUUGCAAUUGAUACUGGCAGUCUUGAGUACAGUUGAGGUAGGCGGAAUUCGUGGUGUAGCGGUGAAAUGCUUAGAUAUCACGAAGAACCCCGAUUGCGAAGGCAGCUUACUAACCUGUGACUGACAUUGAUGCUCGAAAGUGUGGGUAUCAAACAGGAUUAGAUACCCUAGUAGUC